GGGGAUGACAGGUUUCGACAGGGACGGCUGUCCGUGAGCUGCAAGCCGAGGCGCCUCGCUCUCGUAAAAUGGGGCAAACAAUAACUGGCAAAACAGCCAAACUCCCGGCCUACGAAUACGCGAUGGCUGCCUAAGCAGCCUUGGGCAGGGGUGCCUUGCGCAUCCCCAGCCGGCGCUGCGUAAGCGGUCCUAGCGCAUUCCUGGCCCUGACCGCCUAACCGCGGUCACGUCCACCUUGCCCCCACCCCGAUGGGACAAGCCCUGGGCGUAAUAAAAGUCGGGGUGCUGCUUCCCCAUGUCGAUAAGGAGGCUCAAGAUCAUCGGCUGGCCUAAUGACAUCCUUGCUGGACGGGUGGUCGUUGGGCGAGAAACAACAGACCAGCUAAGCUUGUAGAAGCUUGCGGGCGAACUCUUUGGACGCGGGUUCGAUUCCCGCCAUCUCCAUGU
rnacentral:tmRNA from 1 species